rnacentral:rRNA from 1 species
UACGGAGGGUGCAAGCGUUAUCCGGAUUCACUGGGUUUAAAGGGCGCGUAGGCGGGCUAUCAAGUCCGGGGUGAAAUCCUCCCGCUCAACGGGAGAACGGCCUCGGAUACUGAUGGUCUCGAGGGGGAUAGGGGCACACGGAACUGUGGGUGGAGCGGUGAAAUGCGUUGAUAUCCAUAGGAACUCCGGUGGCGAAAGCGGUGUGCUGGAUCCCUUCUGACGCUGAGGCGCGAAAGCCAGGGGAGCGAACGGG